rnacentral:lncRNA from 1 species
CCCCCUCCUGCCAAGUCUUUGGGGGACCUAAAGAUAGCAUAGGAUAGGAUGCAUUUGCUGCCUUGUAUAUUGCUUGAUGAUGAAGCUCUAGAAAAAGGAAGCAAUUAUUGUAGAUAAGUCUCCCAUUCCAGCAUGGCUCUGCAGCAGGAAUAGGAGGUCUAGGCAGAGAAAGCCUGAAGCAGUACCCAACAGGCCUGCAGUCCCAGGAGAUGCCAGAGAGCCAAACAUUUCCCAUUCCCCUGAGAUGAGUAUUUGUGUGGCCUUUUGGGUUUAUCACUUUUAUAACACAUAAAAUCCAUAACUGCUAUUAACAUAAAUGUUAAUCAUGCUGCAUUCUAAUUUUCCUUUCUCUUAUUUAGAUAUCAAAUGGCUUAUAAGCUUCUGGAAUCAACUGUGUGAUCUUCAAAACUGGCAACUUGAGAACAGAGCAGGAAGUAAGUGGUUCAGCUUUGGAUACCCUGAUGGUGCCAUCUAUGAAGAAUAAGCCCUCACCACACACCAAACUUGCUAGCACCUUGAUCUUGGAUUCCCAGCCUCCAGAACGGUGAGAAGUAAAUUUCUGUUGUUUAUAAAUUACCCAGUCUUAUGUAUUUUGUUAUAGCAGCACUAAUGGGCUGAGACUAUACUAAAAAGAAAAAUAACUGAAUUGCAAAAUGAACAAAGGACUUGAAUAGAAAUUAUUUCCAAAGAAGAUA